UCCCGCUUAGCUCAGUUGGUUAGAGCAUCUGACUGUUAAUCAGAGGGUCCCCUGUUCAAGUCAGGGAGCGGGAGCCA
rnacentral:tRNA from 1 species